GACGAACGCUGGCGGCGUGCUUAACACAUGCAAGUCGAACAGAAAGGCCCUGCUUUUGUGGGGUGCUCGAGUGGCGAACGGGUGAGUAACACGUGAGUAACCUGCCCUUGACUUUGGGAUAACUUCAGGAAACUGGGGCUAAUACCGGAUAGGAGCUCCUGCUGCAUGGUGGGGGUUGGAAAGUUUCGGCGGUUGGGGAUGGACUCGCGGCUUAUCAGCUUGUUGGUGGGGUAGUGGCUUACCAAGGCUUUGACGGGUAGCCGGCCUGAGAGGGUGACCGGCCACAUUGGGACUGAGAUACGGCCCAGACUCCUACGGGAGGCAGCAGUGGGGAAUAUUGCACAAUGGGCGGAAGCCUGAUGCAGCAACGCCGCGUGCGGGAUGACGGCCUUCGGGUUGUAAACCGCUUUCGCCUGUGACGAAGCGUGAGUAACGGUAAUGGGUAAAGAAACACCGGCUAACUACGUG
rnacentral:rRNA from 1 species